AGUGAACGCUGGCGGUAGGCCUAACACAUGCAAGUCGAACGGCAGCACAGUAAGAGCUUGCUCUUACGGGUGGCGAGUGGCGGACGGGUGAGGAGUACAUCGGAAUCUACUUUUUCGUGGGGGAUAACGUAGGGAAACUUACGCUAAUACCGCAUACGACCUACGGGUGAAAGCAGGGGAUCUUCGGACCUUGCGCGAUUGAAUGAGCCGAUGUCGGAUUAGCUAGUUGGCGGGGUAAAGGCCCACCAAGGCGACGAUCCGUAGCUGGUCUGAGAGGAUGAUCAGCCACACUGGAACUGAGACACGGUCCAGACUCCUACGGGAGGCAGCAGUGGGGAAUAUUGGACAAUGGGCGCAAGCCUGAUCCAGCCAUACCGCGUGGGUGAAGAAGGCCUUCGGGUUGUAAAGCCCUUUUGUUGGGAAAGAAAAGCAGCAGGUUAAUACCCCGCUGUUCUGACGGUACCCAAAGAAUAAGCAUCGGCUAACUUCGUG
rnacentral:rRNA from 1 species